UCUACUGAAACACGAAUUCAAAUACAAAAAACCUCAAACUAUAUGAAUAAUUUUGUAAGGCAGUAUAGUUUACCAAGCUUUCAGCAGUUGCUAAAUAAAAUACGUUUUAGCACCUGCGACCCUGACAAAAGUUCAUAAUGUAACCUUAACAUGAAUGAAUAAGAUUACUGGAAGAGGUUUGACAUGAAAUAUAUUUUAAUGACAGAUGUUUUACUGCUGCUUUUCAAAUUACCGGCUGUAUAUCUGCAGACACCAUCACCACAUUGUGUUGUCAGACUCCCUGCAAAGAGAAGGAACAUACUUCAGAGUUUUUUUAAAAAUGGUCAUAUUAUUUAAUCUACAAUUUUACAUGUUUUAAGGUCGUCACAAAAAAAAACACACAUUUGCUGCUCAGUCGUGGUCACGUUUUGCCUCCAGGGGGCAGUGAUGAGUCUUGUGAACACUGAAGAUUGGCUGUAAGUCUACGUACUACUGACAGCCAAAAUAAAAAAAGGUUUGGUGUAACCCACAUAAAGUGGGUAUGCCACUUUAAGAGAAGAGGUUAAGGAAGCUGGGUGGUCUGCCUGGCCAAUGAGAAGUUUGGUUUCCAGAGCGUCUGGACCAAUCAGGGUGCAGGCUGCCGUUGUGGAUCCCGCCCUUCUCCCCCGGGUCUGCAGUACCGUUGGUUUUGCUCUAGAGAUCCGACGCGGUGAGACUGCUGAGCGGGGCAGCGCCAGAGUAUGUAUCCCGACAGUUAAAAGUAUUUUUUACGUGCUGUAUUAACUGUAUUGUGGAUAAACUCUUUUGUAAAUAGAUUUUAUGUUGAUUGUCCAGCUUUUGUGCUGGAAAUUAUUUAUUAAAUGAAUACAAACUGAACUUCAGUUUUUUACCGUUAGAGCCGUUAGGAAUCGUUGGCUCUUUCUGGCAGUUAUUUCAGCUUGUUCUUCGUAGAUAAAAGGUAAAAUUUAGGCUUUAACAUAAUUUUAUUUUAUUAAGUUUAUAUUAUUUAGAUCAAAUAUGCCUUGUUACAUCGUUUAGUGCCCCACGCAUCCGGAUUGAGACCCACUAUACGGUUGUCUGAAGUGUGUCGCACUGAGAUCGGUCAGGUUUUUUUUUUUAUACUGGAUCAUUCCUGAAGUGGAUCCCUCCUUUGAUAUUGAUGGCGAGCCUUCCCACCUGGACCUAAAGAGAGAACCAGAUUUCGUCUAUCCCAUUUGGAGUCAUGCUGCACCCUGCGGUGUGGUAGGAGAGCAACAUACAUCUUCACACACGGUUAUGUGUGAAACCUACAACUGACAUUCUCCAUUAUUAUUGUUUUUUUAUUUAUUGAUUUUUGGACAAUACUGUUUGGAUUGUUUUAUUUCGGACAUUGUGACGCACAGCUGUGGUGGAAAUUCUCCUGUGAAUGAAGUUGAAUCAAACCAAAUUGGGAUUAAUUUGAUUAAUCUGCUGACUAAUACAAUUUGGAGUGCAGAUUACCAGGGUGCACCCGAAUUAUUUGAAAUUAAGAAUUAGCACUUGGCCAAGUAUUAUUGUUAUUUCUUUUUUUUUCAUUUUAUUGUGUGUAAUUUUAUUUUCAUAAUUGUGUGUUUUGUGCAACUGUUAAUUGUGUGUUUUCUGUCACUAAAACCAGUUCUUUAAAUACA